rnacentral:tRNA from 1 species
GCCCGGAUGGCGGAACUGGUAUACGCGCAUGGUUGAGGGCCAUGUGGGAGCAAUCCCGUGCAGGUUCAAGUCCUGUUCCGGGCA